rnacentral:rRNA from 1 species
AAUGGCCUAACGGCUGAACCAGCAACUUGGAAGAAUGUAUAUGUAUUAUUAAAUAAUACAGUAACGAAUAAGUCGUAUAAAAUUCUAAAUAGAAUAAUGAUUAUGACAAUUUUCUAUUUAUAAGUCUUGACCAAUAUACGUGCCAGCAGUCGCGGUAACUCGUAGGAGACUAGUGUUAUUCAUCUUUAUUGGGUUUAAAGGGUAACUAGACGGUAAAUUUUACCCCUAAAGGGAAUUUUUUUACUAGAGUUUUAUAUGAGAAGGAAGAACUUUUGGAGGAACGAUAAAAUUUUUUGAUACUAAAAGGACUGAUUAAGGCGAAGGCGUCCUUCUAUGUAAAAACUGACGUUGAGGUACGAAGGCUUGGGGAGCAAUAAGGAUUAGAUACCCUAGUAGUCCAAGCAGAAAAUUAUGAAUGUUAUAAGCUAGAAAAAAAAAGUUUGGCUUAUAAAUGAAAGUGUAAACAUUCCACCUCAAGAGUAAUAUGGCAACAUAGAAACUGAAAUCAUUAGACCGUUACUGAAACCAGUAGUGAAGUAUGUUAUUUAAUUCGAUAAUCCGCGAUAAACCUUACCACAAUUUGUAUAAUAUUAAAUUAUUACACGCGCUGCACGGCUGUCUUUAGUUAAUGUCGUGAGAUAGGGUUAACUCCUUUAAUUAACGAAAACCCUCACUUUAUUUAUAUACAUAAAGUGGUUCGCCACUAUAUUGGACUAGGAUAAGAGGGACUAAGACAAGUCAUCAUGGCCAUAAUAUUGU